UGUCCAUGGUGUGGGCACUUCCUUAUCAUUGUCUUGAAUCGGUCCCAUGCCUCGUUAAGGGUUUCAUCUUUGUAUUGUUUAAAAUUAGUUAUUUCUUUCCAAAGAUG
rfam:Gossypium raimondii Chr01_contig_676, whole genome shotgun sequence.